GCAAAUUUGUCUAACUAAUCCACCGACUCUUUCCUACUAUAUAUUUACGUGAAGACAUCCUUAACAUCAAAGAUUCUCUUUUUUCUUCUUUUUGCAGUUUUGGUUUCUUCAAUCAUCUGCGACAGAUUCUCAACUUGGGGAUAGUGGUUUCAACGUUUAAAGAAAAAACAAUGGUUCUUCGGCGGCGUAAUUUCAGUUUAACAGUCAGUAAAUAACUACACGAAGGGAUGAGGGAAAUAAAAGAUAGUGGAUCUCAAGGAUUUAUGAUGUACACUCUCUAUUGUGGAAGCUAAAAAGGGAUUUGAGCUUUGGUAAGCAGGACAAUUGAUGCUCACCUCUGUUUCUACAAAUAGGCACGGUGCGUCUUUCUUUAAAAAAAAAAUUUAAGAAGCACACCCAACACAAAAACUUCCACUAAAUUGAGCCAAUGAUUUUGGCUUUACAAGGAACUCCUUCUCUCUCGGCGAACUCAUCUACCGCAUCAAAUAAAGCCUUCUAUCUUAUGAUACAAACUCUUUUGUAUCAUGAGUUUCUGUCUAUGUAUUUGGUCCUUUCUUAACUGAGCGAUAGCAUACUAAAUGUGUUUGAUUGAAGUCUUAUUGCAGGAGUUGGCGGAAGAACACCAAAAGGAUGUGAAAAUCAUAAGAUGGUGUCACGUAACGAAAGGAUGCAACAACACCAAAGCAAAUUGAUCUAAUAUGAACACAAGUGGUUCUCCAACUGGCAUGAAAAUACCUUUUGUACUGAGACUUAAAUUGCAUGUUAAUUUUGAACUCAAGUUGUUUU